AACACCAAUUAAAGCAGAAUCAUCCAAAAAAAGAAACCCCAAAUCAUUGAAGGCCAAAUCUUGUAUAAAAAAGGAGUCUUCAGCUGGCAGCUCUUUAAAGGCCAAUAAAUUUAAAGGUAAUCGAGCGGCUUGGGGAAGAAAAAGGGGGAGGAAGAAUAAGAGUGUAGUACAAGAGAAUGAGGGAAGUAACAAUAAAGGGAACAAGAAUUAUCAGACCAGAAUUCAAGGGAAGAGAGAUUACAAAAGAAUAGUGCCAAUGAAGAGCAUACUGGAAACGGUCUAGAGACUAAAAAGAGCCGAGAAAAGAUUGCUGGUUCAAGUAGGAGCCAACAUAGCCAAAGGAGUGAAGAAAAGCAAGGUGGUACAGAUAAAAGCUCAGGAAGUCAAAAGAAUAUAGGGAAGCUUGAUUUGAAGGAAAAGAGUUAGGGAGAAGAAAGAAAGACAGAGAAGCUCGGUGGCUGCAUCUUUAUGUGUAACACAAAGACCAAACCAGAUUGUUUCUGUUAUCGAGUAAUGGGUGUGACAGCAAGUAAGAUAGAUAUUGUGCUGGGUGUGAAACCUGUACUUUAAGCUUUUCCUGUAUGAUUUUGAUCUCAAACUUUUGUAUGGAAUCUACAGAGCAACAUCUUCUGACAGGAUGAGAUUGGAGCCAAAGGCUUUCGUCAGAGUCAUGGCCUCAUUCAGACAGGGAAACGUUUGCCAUAGUCAGUGGUGAUGGUCGGAGUUAUCCUGCAGUCUCUCACGAAAUUUAUCGGCGUAUUGAGCCCUGAGAGGUGGUAUCAACACAGAGAGAGGAAGCUCCUCGUGAUUUAUACAUGAGUGAAAGGGAGUAUCGUACCUAUGAUCUUCUAGACCCGCACAAGAGGAAUUCGGAAAGAGAGCACCUUCUCAGACAGCCAGCUCCUCUAUACAGUGAAACUAUUCCUUUGCAUAGAGAAUCAUUCUUGCUGAUCCCCUCUAUUUAACUCAGAGAGAGUUUCAGACUUACAAUGUUAGUGGUAGAAGUAAAUUGCCACCUGCAGCAGCAUCUAUUUUUGUUAGUACUGCGUUGGACUCCUAUUCAAUGGAUCCGUAUUAUUCUUA